GAUCGCCUUCCAUGGAUCACUCGAACGCGGCGUAGUAUUCCCUACCCAUCUCUUGAAGGGGAUUCCACUCCCAGAGCUUGUCUGAAGCGGCGGGCAGUGGUAGAGGCAAAGCAUUGAAGGGAAGAAGCUGGGCUUGGGUAGGCAGGUGGAGAAGCUGGGCUUGGGAAGGCAGGUGGAGAAGCUGGUUGGGGUUGUUCACGUAGUUCUCGUUGAAGCCUACUAACCUGUUGAGUUCGUCGAUCAUGUGAGUGGCCAUGGAAGGGCCGGUGGAGGUCAGAAUGGAGAGCGUCGGGGUGAGACCGGCGAUGUUGUUGUUGGAGC
rnacentral:lncRNA from 1 species